CACGAACUGAAUCUCUGGGACCAAUAAGCCACAUUGUGCAGGGAUUGGUCUUAUCUACCAGGAGAGACCUCUGUAAAGGACUGUAAAGUGGAUCAGCCAAUUCUUUGCCACACCUUCAACAACCUGAUGAACAGAACUGAGGAUGGUUUGCUCUUCUGGCUCUUUGGAUGGAUACAGAUGCUGAUAGGAGGAACCAGAAUUACUUCUCCAACUGUGAAUCAGUACAGAAGACCAGUACAAGAUCCAGAACCUAAAAGAUUGACCCAGUUAUUCCUACUAAGAGGAGUAGUAUUCCCAGUUAGCUCUUUGUGAAC
rnacentral:lncRNA from 1 species